rnacentral:lncRNA from 1 species
UGCACCCCCUCUUUUAGGAGCUGCUUUCAUCUCUGCUCCCGUUCCUGGGGGUUUCCCCAGCCCCUUCCAGGCUGACGACCCUCCCGACCCCGGCGGCGCCGCUCGGCCUCAGGCACCGGACCACCAACCCCUUCCUAUGACGGCCGCUGCUCCGCCUCUCCCGCCGGGACCAGGUUUUGGUCUCAGCCGCUGACCCGAGUGUCACAAAGGGACAGGGAUGUACCAAGUGUAAUUUUGGGGGGGAUUUCCAUACUUGGAGAAAAAAAAAAUCAUUAUUUUAUUUAAUUAGAGUGACAACCGCAUAAUAGUUAAAUAUAAUAAUUUUAAUAAUAAUUAGUU